GACGAACGCUGGCGGCGUGCUUAACACAUGCAAGUCGAACGGAAAGGCCCUGCUUUUGUGGGGUGCUCGAGUGGCGAACGGGUGAGUAACACGUGAGUAACCUGCCCUUGACUUUGGGAUAACUUCAGGAAGCUGGGGCUAAUACCGGAUAGGAGCUCCUGCUGCAUGGUGGGGGUUGGAAAGUUUCGGCGGUUGGGGAUGGACUCGCGGCUUAUCGGCUUGUUGGUGGGGUAGUGGCUUACCAAGGCUUUGACGGGUAGCCGGCCUGAGAGGGUGACCGGCCACAUUGGGACUGAGAUACGGCCCAGACUCCUACGGGAGGCAGCAGUGGGGAAUAUUGCACAAUGGGCGGAAGCCUGAUGCAGCAACGCCGCGUGCGGGAUGACGGCCUUCGGGUUGUAAACCGCUUUCGCCUGUGACGAAGCGUGAGUGACGGUAAUGGGUAAAGAAGCACCGGCUAACUACGUG
rnacentral:rRNA from 1 species